AGACUUUUUGAAUUCUAUUGUUUAAGAGCAGAUCAUUAAAGUGGAAACAUUACUUUGCUUUUUCCCAAGGUGGAUAUCUUUGGACCUCGCACACGAUAUAUGGGUCUUCUCUUUCUUAAUCCUGAGGCAGAUGAUGCUGCUGAGUAAAAUCGAAAUCACACAUCAAAGCAGAUUGAGACCACUCUAAAUUUGUGAUCACAAAACCUCAUCUAGGCCCUCAGUGCUGCCAAGAAGGCCUGUUAUGACAUUUUAAAAUAACUUAAAUCCUUUAAAAAAUGGCAUCUUUUUUUUUUUUUUUUUACUGGUAUAUGGCUUUUAAAGUUCUUCAAAACCUUUCUUCCCCCCAGAACUUGAGAAGAUCCAACCAGUCUGUCAAAGGAGUAACAAAUUUGCAAAGCUUCCUGUGCAGAGCUUGAAGUCUACUCCACGUUCAUCCAGUCAACAUGUUUUGGGGGACACACAUCACAUCCCAGGUACCGUGUUGAGCACUGGCAAAAUAAUGCAGAGGAUAAAAGAGAAAAAAGUCCUGCUGUCUUAGAGGCAGACAAUAAAUAGUUGAGAGAAUAAAUUCA
rnacentral:lncRNA from 1 species